rnacentral:lncRNA from 1 species
AUUUGAACUUCAUGGAAUUUUUAACUUUCCCUCAACCUAUCCAGAGUCUUGGAGAUUAAUUGUGUGUGCAUAUGGUGUUUGACAGCAAUUAUUCUGAAAAUUGCAGUAGGUGUUAUUUCAAUAGAGCUUCUUUGCAUCUGCAGCCACCUGGGAGGAGCUGUAGGUAUCUUGAUAUCUUCCUCGAGUUCCUCAUGGAAGUUUGGCAUAAUAGUGCUAUCGGGGUCCGCAUAGAUGUUUCGCCUGCCUAAUCCAGGGGUUGUGCGUAAAUAGUGUUUGAUUAUUUAAAACCAUGUGUUGUGCGUAAAUAAUUUGUUGUUAAUUGGUGUAUUCACCAAGAUUUGGCUGUAUCUGCGUACUGUACAUCAGAAUUCUCACUAAUGGAAGCUUAAGUGCUUAACCAAUUUGUACCUGGACUGGGGCUUGAUAUGAUGAAUUAUGUAUGACCCCCAUCCUCUAUAUUUGCUGAAGUGGGUCUCAGCUAUAACCAACCUUAACCCACCGGGCUGACUCUGUGGGUCUACUCUAAAGUUGGCGACGCAGCUACUAGCCUCAGUUUUAAUGCGAAUUUGCCUAUUUGCCAUGGUUGGUUCUUCGCUGGGUAGGUAGGCCAGUUGAUUGGAAUUUUCCUCACGUGACAAAAGCAUGGAACGUUGGUUGAAACUUACCACCAAAACGUUCAAAAACUUUGUUUUCAUAUCACGUCAUUGGAGACCCCUUCGGCUUAACUGUACCUAAAUCCAUCCAUGUCCUUAUCUAUUCAUCAAUAAUGUUCAUACUGGCCGUGACUUGCAAUCUUUUUUAAUGUGAUUAACAAUUUUUUAAAUACUUUAAUAGUAAUCCCACAGAAAUGUAAAGUGAAUAAAAGAAGCAUCCGAACAGCUGCAGCAGCAAUCAGCGAUCGAGUUAGCGCCACAGCACACUUUUUUUCUAACUUCAUCUGGUUUUCCCGGCAAAACAAGCAACUGCUUUACUGCUGCGCCACCAGAUCCCAACACUAAAUAAGGCUCUAUAUAUACAAGCCCAUAAGUUCUUCUUCAUGGAUUCUACUGGAAAAAGGUCACUCACUCACUCACUUCUCUCUAAUUUUAAUUUCGUUCACGUUAAUAUAUUAAUAUCGGAACAUACCUUCAGCCUUCAGGGAUAUUCAAAUAUAACUUUGUAAGUUUGAUAUGGGUGUUUCCCGCAAUUGGGUCACGUUUUUGCGUGGAUUGUUUCUCCUCCUCCUUAUCUGUCGUAGCUCUGGAGCUGAAGUUAUUACAGUUGAUGUUCGAGCUGCUAAGAAUCUGCUUGAAUCUGGCUACGGCUAUCUUGAUGUGAGGUACGCAGUUUCAAUUCAACUACUGGCUUUCUAUUUCCUAAUUCUGAUACUUGUAAUUUCUUUUAUUUUUUAAUCUUUAUUUCGUAACUUUGGGCUUGUCUUAAAAUACUAGGACGGCAGAAGAAUUCGAGGAAGGUCAUGUGGAUGCAGCAAAAAUCUUCAACAUUCCUUACAUGUUCAACACUCCAGAAGGUAUAUAACGAUUAUUUUAUUUUAUUUUUUUUAAAAUUCAACUUCUAAUAACCAUGAGCCAUUUCCUUUUUAAUACUUCAGUUAUGAAAAAAUAAUUUGGUUUUUCCUUAUAGGUAGAGUAAAAAAUCCAGAUUUCUUGAAGAAGGUUAGAUCUCUUUGCAAGGAGGAGGAUCGUCUUGUAGUGGUAAUUAAUUGAUCAUGUUCAUAAAUCAGUUGUCGAAAAAUUGGUGUUUGACAGCAAUUAUUCUGAAAAUUGCAGUAGGUGUUAUUUCAAUAGAGCUUCUUUGCAUCUGCAGCCACCUGGGAGGAGCUGUAGGUAUCUUGAUAUCUUCCUCGAGUUCCUCAUGGAAGUUUGGCAUAAUAGUGCUAUCGGGGUCCGCAUAGAUGUUUCGCCUGCCUAAUCCAGGGGUUGUGCGUAAAUAGUGUUUGAUUAUUUAAAACCAUGUGUUGUGCGUAAAUAAUUUGUUGUUAAUUGGUGUAUUCACCAAGAUUUGGCUGUAUCUGCGUACUGUACAUCAGAAUUCUCACUAAUGGAAGCUUAAGUGCUUAACCAAUUUGUACCUGGACUGGGGCUUGAUAUGAUGAAUUAUGUAUGACCCCCAUCCUCUAUAUUUGCUGAAGUGGGUCUCAGCUAUAACCAACCUUAACCCACCGGGCUGACUCUGUGGGUCUACUCUAAAGUUGGCGACGCAGCUACUAGCCUCAGUUUUAAUGCGAAUUUGCCUAUUUGCCAUGGUUGGUUCUUCGCUGGGUAGGUAGGCCAGUUGAUUGGAAUUUUCCUCACGUGACAAAAGCAUGGAACGUUGGUUGAAACUUACCACCAAAACGUUCAAAAACUUUGUUUUCAUAUCACGUCAUUGGAGACCCCUUCGGCUUAACUGUACCUAAAUCCAUCCAUGUCCUUAUCUAUUCAUCAAUAAUGUUCAUACUGGCCGUGACUUGCAAUCUUUUUUAAUGUGAUUAACAAUUUUUUAAAUACUUUAAUAGUAAUCCCACAGAAAUGUAAAGUGAAUAAAAGAAGCAUCCGAACAGCUGCAGCAGCAAUCAGCGAUCGAGUUAGCGCCACAGCACACUUUUUUUCUAACUUCAUCUGGUUUUCCCGGCAAAACAAGCAACUGCUUUACUGCUGCGCCACCAGAUCCCAACACUAAAUAAGGCUCUAUAUAUACAAGCCCAUAAGUUCUUCUUCAUGGAUUCUACUGGAAAAAGGUCACUCACUCACUCACUUCUCUCUAAUUUUAAUUUCGUUCACGUUAAUAUAUUAAUAUCGGAACAUACCUUCAGCCUUCAGGGAUAUUCAAAUAUAACUUUGUAAGUUUGAUAUGGGUGUUUCCCGCAAUUGGGUCACGUUUUUGCGUGGAUUGUUUCUCCUCCUCCUUAUCUGUCGUAGCUCUGGAGCUGAAGUUAUUACAGUUGAUGUUCGAGCUGCUAAGAAUCUGCUUGAAUCUGGCUACGGCUAUCUUGAUGUGAGGUACGCAGUUUCAAUUCAACUACUGGCUUUCUAUUUCCUAAUUCUGAUACUUGUAAUUUCUUUUAUUUUUUAAUCUUUAUUUCGUAACUUUGGGCUUGUCUUAAAAUACUAGGACGGCAGAAGAAUUCGAGGAAGGUCAUGUGGAUGCAGCAAAAAUCUUCAACAUUCCUUACAUGUUCAACACUCCAGAAGGUAUAUAACGAUUAUUUUAUUUUAUUUUUUUUAAAAUUCAACUUCUAAUAACCAUGAGCCAUUUCCUUUUUAAUACUUCAGUUAUGAAAAAAUAAUUUGGUUUUUCCUUAUAGGUAGAGUAAAAAAUCCAGAUUUCUUGAAGAAGGUUAGAUCUCUUUGCAAGGAGGAGGAUCGUCUUGUAGUGGUAAUUAAUUGAUCAUGUUCAUAAAUCAGUUGUCGAAAAAUUAAUUUUUGUCUUAACACACACACACACACACACACACACACAUACAUAUAUCAUCCAGUUUUGAUUUGGUGUUAGUAAUUAAUCUGUACAGGGCUGUCAAAGCGGAGCUAGAUCUCUUCAUGCAACGGCUGAUCUUCUUGGCGCUGUAAGUUUUCGUCUUCGCUUUCAAUUUUCACUCGCUAAGGAAGCUACUAAUUAGCUGAAAUUAGAGUAAAGAUGAGGGAGCGAGGAAAUUUAACGGUCUCUGUACAAUUGACAAAAUGAUCGCUGCAGGGCUUUAAGCAUGUUAGCAACUUUGGAGGUGGGCAUAUGGCUUGGGUUCAGAACGGAUUAAAGGUGAAGGCGCAUGAAAAGCCAGCAGAUCAUCGAUCUGACCUCUGAUUAAUCAUGACUUGCCAUUAUUAUCACCAUGUAUUACGCACACUAGUAAUGCCCAGAAAACGAACUUGUGGUGGCGCCGUCGUAUUUAGUAAUUUGUACAAUAUUUUUAUUUUUGUUCGUUUGUUGCAGAAAAUGAUGGGAAUUUGAUUAAAGUUAUGCUAUUUGUUUUUCUUUUUAAUAUAUAUGCACAUUUAUGGAUAUGGCUGGUGAGCUAAAAUUGUAGUCACACAGAUUAAAAAGUGAAAAUGGUCCGUCGAUUGAAUAUUUCUCGUUCACUGCAUGGAAAGAUACCCCAUAAAGUCUUUAUUAUAUUAAUAAUUUUAAUUAAAAUACAGUCCAACAACUUUGGUAAUGCCGCAAAAUGGCAUGCGUCUGAGUGGAUUCAUAAAUCACAAUUUCUUUUUUCACGAGACAAAAAUUAGAAGACAGAAACACGUUGUUGACUGUCCCAAAACGUGAAAUCAGCAAAAGUCCUAACUGGCGAAGAUCUUGUUUACCGGGCCCAUUGUGCUCAACUGCUUUGGAAGUUAUGUGUUGUAACAACUCAUGCGUGUCCUCGUGAAUUAGCGCAACAAAAGCCCACCAUCACAAUGACUGCCAUUAAUGGCCUGAAAUACUUUGUUCAUAAAUCAGACUCAGUCAAAAGAAAAAGAGUUAUUUUAUUUUAUUGGGUAUGCGUUUUUAAGGUCCCUGGUUGGUUGUAGACAUUGAAUGUUAUGCUUAUGCCCAGCAGCUCAAGUUCUCACUGUCUUUUGGUGGAGAAAUGAAGAAAGAAACAGUAAGAGAAGGAGCUUCAUUAGCUGACACCCCUACUUGGGCUGUUGCUACUGUCAUCACUGUUAUGAUCAUUUUUGGGUUCUUUGUUCAUACUUGUUUGAAACAUUUUGGCAAGGUAAAACUGACAGUUUUUUUCUUCUAAUUUCUUUAACUGUUUCCUUCAUUACAUGCUGUCUUUAUUUGAUGGAAUGCGAAUGUUUGUUUCGAUAGUGGUUGGAAAAGACUAAGAGAAAAUCUUUGCUUGCUGCUCUUGAGAAGAUCAAAGAUGGUAAGAGAAUUUAAUCUUUAGCUAUGGAUUUGUUCAAUCAAUAUAUUGACGCAUACGUAAUUGUGAUGUUCACUUCUGAUCCCAUGAAAUGUUGGUUAUUUAAAUAUAUGCAGAGAUGAUGCUCUUUGGUGUUUUGUCUUUGUUGAUGGGGCAUUGGAUUGUAUUUGUGGCCAAAAUUUGUGUCAAAUCAUCAGCCCUGAGCAGCAGAUUCUAUCCAUGUGCGUCCAAGGCUGACUUCACAUCAGUAGCUCACACUCUUGUUUCAAGAUCAAAUUUUUUGAAUUCCUCACUUGAUAGAGAGCAAGUGCAAACCAGGCACGGGUCGAGCUAUUACUGUCCUGAGGUAUCCGUUCAUGACAGUGAAGUUCAUAUUACUACUGUAACCUUCAAUGCUUUCCCAGUUAAAUGUAUUAAGUGAUGCCAGUCAUUAUUCAUUUUUCUAAACCCUUUUGCUGUUUACUAUAUCUAUACGGACUUUCUUGAAAUAUUUAUUUUUUUGCAGGGCCAAGAAUCUUUUGCUUCACAUGAAAGUCUUGAGCAGCUUCAUCGUUUUAUAUUCGUCCUCGGUGUUACGCAUGUUUCUUACAGCUUUGUUGCCAUUGCCUUGGCCAUGAUUAAGGUCGGAGCACUUCUGUAUUGUCAAUGUGCUUUUUAGAGCUUAAUAUUUUCCAAGAUGUCUCAUCGUUUUAUAUUUGCAGAUCUAUAGCUGGAGAACAUGGGAAAACCAAGCUAUAACCAUGGCUAUUCAGAUUGAACAAGGUGCAAAUUUUUCAAGCCAAUUAAUGAAGGUUUUGUCUGUGUAUUUUUAGCUAUUUUGUCCUGUCUGUUGCUUUUUGUCAUGCUAGAUGCUCUCAAAGGACAAGUUUUCCUUUUUGCAAUAAUAUCUUAAAUCUAGAGUCUUCGGAAGCUGCAUCAAGCAACAGGAAGAUGAAGCGACUAUCCACCUUUAUCUUUCACCGCACAUCCCAUCCAUGGAGCCAGCACAAAGUUCUGGUUUGGCUGGUAUUCUUACAUGCUCGAAAUCAUAUACUUUUUAUCUGGUUCAUGAGCUAUGUGGUGAUAUUUCUUAUUAUCAUGCUUGAGAAACAGUUUCUUAAGCAUUAAUUUAAUUAAUUUACCCGAACUAGAUAAAUCUUGCUGAACCAAUAUUUGUUAGACAAACCUAGUUGCUCAAAUCAGCCAUUGGCUGAAUAUAAUUGAAUUUCAAAAAAGACAAAUUGCUCAAAAGUUGCUUGGGUUAUAUCUUAUAAGAAAUGCAUACUAUAUAAGUUGUUAAAUUCCUGGUCAGUUACAGCAAAUAAAAUUCUUUUUUCUGCUGUGUAAUUAGUGUUGGACUUAGGUUAGGGGCAAGAUACAAUUCAACGAUCAGCAUCAAUAUUCUUCUCAGUUUUGGAUUCUUUCCUCAUCUGGAAGUUAUUUUUAUUCUUGUGUCAGGUUAGAGGAAAUUAUUAUUUGAGCGUCAAUCAACUAGGGGCUGGAGCACGCUGGCGGCGAACAACUGGCCAAGAAGUUUAUUCACCGCUUCUCUUGGCUUUCACACAAGAAGUAUGACUAGAUUGUAGCCACUUUGUUAUGAACUUGUUACAGAUCUUAAACUGACUCAAGAAUUUAAUUAUUCAGAAGUUAGAGACUUGGACAGAAUCUCAUCUGACAAAAUCAACUGCCAUGGAAUCAGACUACAGCCUGCCUCUCAAUGUUGCUUUAAUUACUCUUGAGGUAACAGCAUCUUUACUCACUGUAGAAUGAAUUGAUAAAAUUUAUCUGUAUCUCAAUGAAUUGAUAAAAUUUAUCUGUAUCUCAAUCUAAUUACUUCUUGCAGGAGUUGGAUGAUGGAAGUGUUCUUCUGCGACUGGCACAUCUGUACGAGGUAAAGAAAAUACACCUGGUGCUCCUCUUCAUGUUCCCACUAAAAUUCACCAAAUGAGACUUUUAUUAGAUGUAUUACAACUAAAACUCAGUAGAGCGAUAUAGACAAAUGCACCAGGCGAUGAAUAUAUAUAAAAGUGUGAAACUAUGAAGUCGUACAAAUAAAGAUUCGCAUUGUCUGCUGUACGGCCAAGGCGGAUGUACGGUACAGCAGAUCCCAUCCAUGGAGCCAGCACAAAGUUCUGGUUUGGCUGGUAUUCUUACAUGCUCGAAAUCAUAUACUUUUUAUCUGGUUCAUGAGCUAUGUGGUGAUAUUUCUUAUUAUCAUGCUUGAGAAACAGUUUCUUAAGCAUUAAUUUAAUUAAUUUACCCGAACUAGAUAAAUCUUGCUGAACCAAUAUUUGUUAGACAAACCUAGUUGCUCAAAUCAGCCAUUGGCUGAAUAUAAUUGAAUUUCAAAAAAGACAAAUUGCUCAAAAGUUGCUUGGGUUAUAUCUUAUAGUAGAGUUACCCCAUAAUGUAUAGAUGGAAAAAAAAAAAAAUUAUUUACGCGUGUACUUGGUGCAUAUGUGUGUUUGUGAAGAAGGGGGCUAAUGGAUAUAAAGACCAGAGGAGGACUCAGAAGUUCUAUUCAAAUUAGACGUUAAGGACCUUUGUGAUGUCUUUGUUGGGGCAUUACUGAAGUUGUUGAUGUUCAAGUUAAAAGUCUGUUCUCAAAUGACUUGAUUAAAUGAUCAGUCUUUCAUUUUACAUCAUUUUUUUGAACUGUUAAAUACAAUGUUUGGUAGUUCAGGAUAUUGAUCAUGCAUUGAGUGGAAAAAUAUAUGUUUCAUUGGGAAAACCUAUAACAUCAGAGCACUAAAUCCCCGUCACCUGAUGACCUGAAUGUAUGGGGCAUUAAAUCCUUAAAUCCCAUAGAUACCAAAACUAUAAGCAGGGCUUGAUUCUUGCAACCACUAAUUUCAGUUGUAGUCCUUCACUGUUAUUCUAUUCUGUUAGUUGCAUGACUAUGGGCCAACGACUCCAAUUGUAAAUUUGCAGCUUUGCUUCAGUCGGCAAUUUUGGAGUUCUAUAAAUCGAGCUGAUUACAUGGCUCUGCGCUUGGGCUUCAUCACUGUAAGUUUUAUCAGGUUUUAGUGAGGGUAUUGCUGUUGAACCAUGUAGAUGACAUGAGGAAAUUUUUGAAUUUUGAAGAGUGAAUAGUCUGCUUGCCUUCAUUUGCUUCAUUUGUUUUUGUUUUUCCUUCGUCUUCAGUCGUCGUCUUGCAAAUAAAUAUGUCUGAGAAGACAAGUAAUUUGAAUAGCUAAUAACUGUCUCGCUCCUGUCUUUUAUAUUUGUGUUCCUGGAUUUGUAGACUCAUCAGCUUCCUUUGACAUAUGAUUUCCAUAAGUAUAUGCAUCGAAGCAUGGAGGAAGAAUUCCGUGAUAUUGUUGGCAUUAGGUAAUACUUAUUACUCUGCUUUGCAUGCCUGUUCUCUUUUCUUCCUUCUUUUUCUAAAUUCAUUCUCUCUAGUUUGGUAUUUUUUUUUUUAAUUAAAUCAAUUUGAUUGAUUUCUGAGGCUUCUUUUGCAGUAUACCACUCUGGAUUUAUGCCAUUGGUUGCACUCUUCUGAAUUUCCACGGUAGUUUUCCGUGUUUUGAAAAGCUAAUAACUGAUGAGCAAACCCCGUUCACUGUGAAUUGCAUGUCAUUAUUUUCUAGUGUCAUAUCUGUGGGAAGUAGGCCACUUGAAUGAAUUUUCAUUUGAAAUAUAUGGUCGUCCAAAAGAAAUUUAGUAAUGUUCAACAAAGCUUUUGGAUGUCCUCAAGAACAGAACAGAAAAAUUAUACGUCGUUUUGCAGUAUCAGUUUCUCAUUCAAUCAAAUAGUACAAUUGCAAAAUUUUGCUUGUAAGCGUUUGCAUUGUCCGACUAAAUCAUGUAAUGGCUCAAUUCUCAUAGCUGCAAUUUAGAGAGUAGCAUGUAAGCAUAUACAUUGAUUCAGUUUUCUUAAGAUAUCUUUGCAUCUUUUUGGCACGGAAUUAAUUUGUGAGGUUUUCCCCCUUUAUUCCUAAACUAAUUUUAGAGUUUGGAUUCUGUGAUUUUCAUGUAGGAACUAAUACUUACCUUUGGCUUUCAUUCAUUCCAGCCAUUGUAAGUCAUCAUCAUUUCUUCUCUUUUAGCUUUUCCAAAAUGUUAAUACCACUCAACUUUGCUAAUCUCCCUUGCUCUCUAUCUCUUCCUCUGCUGCAUUUUCUUAUUGUGUUUUAUGCACAUUGAAGUUAAUACUGCUGAUUGGUACAAAAUUACACCGGGUGGUGGUAAAGUUAGCUGUUGAAAUCAUGGAUAAAUGUCCAUGGGAUGGAUAUCACCAGUUUAAUCUGAGGGAUGAUCUCUUCUGGUUUGGCAAGCCCAGGCUUCUUUUGCAUUUGAUACAACUAAUAUCAUUCCAGGUGAGUUAGGCCCCUCUUUAUUGCCUUGAUAUUUUAGUUAUGAGUUUGCCCGGUUUUCAGAAAGAUUAAUUUUUUCUAUGGAUAUGUGCUUGAUUUUGCAGAAUGCAUUAGAAAUGGCAACAUUCCUUUGGUCCCUGGUAAGGUCUUGGCUGAUUUGCUCAUUGUAAAAUGCCAAUCGUUCCAAAAGUAGAUGCUUAUUUAUUUGUUUGAGCUCUCUAUAACUUUCUUUAUCCUUUGAGGAUAUUAUUUUGUUGGACAUUCUAGGAGAAACACAUAAUUAUAACGAACUAGAUUUCUCCAUCGCUAAAACUAAUGCAUCUAGCAAUGCUUUCAUGAAGAUGAUGGUGAUUCUGAUUUUUGUUUCCAGUGGGAAAUCAAGGAACCUUCUUGUUUCAUGGAAAAUCGUAGCUUUAUUGUUAUCCGCUUGACAUUUGGGUACAUCGUUCUUCCACCUUUUCAAUGUUUACGAGCCAAAUAUUUUGUGGCUUUACCAAGUGAUGUUAAUUUGUUGCUCAAUUGUAUAUGCAGAACUGUGACACAGUGCUGGUGUAGCUUCAUCACAUUUCCACUCUAUGUUAUCAUUACACAGGUAUAUUAAUAUAUUAUAUAUCUAAAUACUAAAUAGCUUUGCUUUUUCAACCCAGAACGCAUAUAUGUGUCUUAUCUCUAUAUGGCUCUCGAUCGAUUGCAUUUUGUUUGUGGCUUUCGUUGUUGCAGAUGGGAUCAAGGUUCAAGAGAUCUGUAGUUUCUGAAAAUGUAAGAGUAUCACUAGGAAAUUGGAAAAAAAGAGUGCGGGCAAAGCAAAGUGCAUCCGUUGGACUCGUUAGUGCAGCAUCCAACUCAUCCUCAGAUUCUUUGGUUGAUAACAUGAACAAAAUGGAUGAUUUCACAUCAGGUGCAGGCAGCAUCAGCAUGGAAGGAAGCUGCUCAAUAGUUAAAGAUCCAUCGAUCCUGAACCAAGACACCUCCGCCCCGGAGCAUUCACUUCACUCCAGCCAUUCAUGUGACACUGACCUUGAUGAUCAUGAUGACCUGAUUGAUGUUGAAUAAGAUGACAUGAUGAUCUUUAGAUGUUCCUUCCUGCAGGGCCAUGGAUAGUGGCAGAAGAAGUUGCAUGUCCACCGGUAGACACUUGAAUCGAUUGGUUGUAUUGUAAUAAGAAAAAGGAUCCAUCGGUUGUUUACUUGGCUUCAACUUUUAGCUCUCGAAUUACUUUUCUUCAUUAAAAUUUUCUAAAUCUAACAUAAUUUUGUAAAAAAGACACAAAAUCGGAAUGAGAAUUUGAGCUCAUACUAUAAUCCGCUGUUAUAAUAUGAUAUAUAGACUGUGUAGAAUUAGAUGUCCAAAAUAUAAGGCCUCUUACGCGAGCCAUUCCUCGUUUAUAAUUUUAUUUCCAACGUGGCAUCAUGUAACUGGCUUAAAAACAAAUUCCCAUUACCCUCUCAAAAUUGAAUUCCUGUACUUGCCCAUUCUAACCAAUAAUGACCUGGCUAAUGAGGCUUUGGCCACGGGUGAAUUUUUACUCUCAGAGUUAAGAAGGAUUAUAAGGGUAGGGGUUCGACUCUUCAUGAAUUUAAAACUCUCUUAAUUAAACAUUAUAUAUGAUUGGGUGAAGUUUAUUUAUAAGUUUUUCUCUCUUGUGAAAUACAAGUGAAGUAAAAUCAUCCCUUCUCUGUGAGGAUUAUUUGUCUGGACAUGUACUUUAUAAAUUUAAUGUAACAAUAUAAAUCUCAAUUAUGUAUAUUUUAUUAAACAUGUAUUUCAUAAAUUUAAUGUAAUAAUAUAAAUCUCAAUUAUGUAUAUCUGAUUGUAAAUAUCAGUAUAAUAUUUAUUGUAAUAACAGUUGUAAAUAUAUUUGUGUAAUAAGUAAUCUAAUAUGUAAUUAGUAUUUUAAAAAAACCAAUAAUGACCUGACACGCAGGACGCGCUAGUUAGUGAAAUAAUCUUGAGCACACGAGAACGCCACGAUACCUGUCCUGCGGCUAAACUUGAAACUUCUUGCUUUUUCCUUUUCUUAUUUGAGAAGCUUAAUAGUUCUUACUUGAGUCUUCUUUAACGACGCUGCUCUCAUUCUUUCCCGAGCAUUGGCAUUUGUUCUGUUUCUGAUCUCAAAGAGUAGAUAGCCAUGGUUCUCGAGGUAAUCAAUAAAAUGUUUAUUUGGGUUUUCUUCUUUCUCUUUCUCGUUUUCAUUUUAAUUUCAAAUUAUUCAUUUUAUUAACCAAUGAAAUCUAUAAAAAAAAAUGUAAAAAUUUUAAAAACUAAAUUCAGGCAACGUUGAUCUGUAUUGAUAAUUCUGAGUGGAUGCGUAACGGCGAUUACGCUCCUAGUAGAUUCCAAGCUCAAACUGAAGCUGCUAAUCUUAUUUGCGGAGCCAAAACUCAGGUUUCUUUAUUUCUUUUUCUUUUUCCUUUUCCUUUUUUCCUUUCUAAAUAAAUUUUUUUUAUCUGUCCUGUAUUUCUUAUUUAAUUAAGAAACUUACAUUAAUUGGUUAUAUGUAUUGUUUCUUUUUCAUGCUCAACUGGGAGUUCAUCUUUUUUUUUUAAUAGUAACUGCUGAUAUGUCUUUUAGGGUUUAUUUGAAAUGAGUUGCUUUGUGUAAACAGUUAAAUCCUGAGAAUACCGUAGGUGUUAUGACAAUGGCAGGGAAAGGGGUUCGUGUUUUGGUCACUCCUACUAGUGAUCUUGGCAAGAUCUUGGCUUGCAUGCACGGUUAGUUAUCUUUCUUGCUUUCACACCUAUUUGUUCAAGAUCAGGGGUAUGCUUGGGGUUGAGGUCCACUGCUGCAGUGGAAAUGAAGGAUGCAAUUAGUAGUUGUCAACAAGGAGUGGUUUUGUUGUGCAUUCAAAGUGCUAAGCAGAAGUGCAUCAGUUACAAACAUCAGUACUUGUAUUGAUUUAUGUUGCUGGAUGCAGGUUUAGAAAUAGGCGGUGAGUUGAAUCUUGCUGCUGGGAUCCAGGUGGCUCAAUUGGCUCUAAAGCAUCGCCAGAACAAAAAGCAGCAACAAAGGAUUAUUGUCUUCGUUGGAAGGUGGGUUUGAAUUCGGUUCUUUAUGCAUUUUAAUUCUAUCAUUUUGUUUUCUAUCUUGUGUUAUGCUUGUGUGUUUGCAGUCCCAUCAAGCAUGAAAAGAAAGUGCUGGAGAUGAUUGGCAGGAAGUUGAAAAAGAAUAGUGUAGCACUUGACAUUGUCAACUUUGGUGAAGACGAUGAGGGGAAUACGGAGAAGCUUGAAGCACUUCUUGCUGCUGUGAACAACAAUGAUAGUAGCCACCUUGUUCACGUUCCUCCUGGUCCAAAUGCCCUUUCUGAUGUGCUUCUUAGGUAAUAUACUCUGCUUUAGUUUUCUUCAUUUCUUUUGAAUUUUAGUGGUUGAGUUUCAUAUGAAAUUCUGAUUUGAGUUAAAAAAUUUCCUCUCUCAUGUCAGUACGCCUAUCUUCACUGGGGAUGGUGAGGGAGGGAGUGGUUUUGCAGCAGCUGCAGCUGCUGCUGCAGCCAGUGGUGCUUCUGGUUAUGAAUUUGGGGUGGACCCCAACCUAGAUCCUGAACUGGCCCUUGCUCUCAGAGUUUCAAUGGAAGAGGAGAGAGCCAGACAAGAAGCAGCAGCUAAGAGAGCAGCAGAGGAAGCGGCUAAAAAGGAAAAACAAGGGGAACAGCAAUCUAGCUCACAGGAUGUAACUAUGACUGAUCAAGACAGUGUUCCAGCUUCUGAAGCUGAUGAUAAGAAGAAGACUACGAAGGUUUGUGCUAUUUAUUGCAUUUCACCUUGGUAUUUGCUUGCUUAAAUUAUUCAUUAUCAACAGAAAUUAUUCAGUAAUUUAACCUUGAAUAUUUGUAACAGCAUGACGAGGGUUUGCUACAGGAGGCCAUUGCGAUGUCAUCAACUCCUAGUUAUCCCUCUGGGCGAGAUACGAAUAUGUCAGAGGUAGCUGAAGAUGAUCCAGAGUUGGCAUUAGGUGAGAGUCCUUGUGCUCAGCAGUUUUGUUUUCUUUGGCUGUUUGGCAUGGUUGUAUGCUUAUAUAUACCGUAUACCUCAUCUCGAUGAUAAGUGCACAAGGUUAAGUAUUAUGCUAUUCUUGGACAACAUACUGGCUGACUGUCAUUUUCACAUUACCUUUCCCCUGCAUUUCUGUCUAAUAGGAAUUCUAUUUGAUUGUGAAGUAUCAUGCUAUUCUUCUGGGUCGAUGGUGUUUUGAUAUUUUCACCUGCUUAUUAAUAGUUUUCCCGUUUAGCAUUCUAUAAUUAAAUAGACACUUGGAAAAAAGUUAAACUAACUUUGGCAUUAAAUGAUUAAUACUCUCCCCAUAUCUGUUGCUUGUAGCUCUUCAAUUAUCCAUGCAAGAUGGCACGAAAGACGCACCAAGCCAUAGUGACAUGAGCCAGUUGUUGGCUGACCAGGCUUUUGUGUCCUCCAUCCUUGCAUCGGUAUGUCUGCUAAAGUUGCAAUAAUUAUUCCCCCCAGCCCGAGUGAGAAACAUAGGUAUCUCAUGACCUGUUCUUUCCCUGCAUGUAAUAAUUAAUACAUUUUUUGUUCCACAGCUUCCAGGGGUUGAUCCAGAAGAUCCUUCUGUUAAAGAUGUGCUUACUUCCAUGCAAAACCAGUCUGAGGUGAGUUCAUCAGACUUGGUAGGAUGAAUAGACAAAUCUCUAUAUACUAAAAAUUUGAUAGUACCGUAUCAGCUAAAAAUUUGGAUAUUGGGUUAGUGUGUCUGUUUAUUUCUGUUUGAGUGUGGAAUUUUCAAUAAAUUUUGGUGUUAGAUUUUUUAUUCUUAUGCAAGGUGAAACUGAUGAAUGUUUUCGAUACCUGGUUGUAUUGUGUAUGCUUGUUAGCCCCAAGAGAAGAAGGAUGAAGACAAGGUGUCAAAAGAGGAGGAGGAGAAGAAAUAAUUCUCUGCAGUUGCUUUUCAAUGUCAGGUUUAGACUACUGAAUUCACCCAGUUCAUGAUCUGUAUCAGCUUCUGGGGUACAAGAUGUUUCAAAUUUGAUAAAUUCAUGUAAAUUUCUUACUUUUUGGGAUCUCCAGGUUACUAAUAUUUGUGAUAACGGUAGUGAUUAUUAGAUGAAGUUUUUAUUAUCGCAAGUCAUUAACCUCUUCAUUGUGGCCAAUGAAUGGUGCAGAUUGUGAUUUUCAUUUGUAUUUGAAAAGGCUUCACAGUAACCACUAGUUUAUUAAUGGCAACUUUCUAAAUUAUGCACCGAAUGAAUCAACGCUAAUACAGGGUUGCUGCAGAACAGUGUUUUGUCUGGCUAUACAUAUUGUCGUUCAUAUUUACUCGAGUCUUGAGGUUGAGCCUUUGCUUGUGGGAAUACAUUUGAAAUGCUUAUGCAGAGACAAAUGUCGUGAUUUUGUGGCGAUUAAGACACAGAGAUUGUUUUUCUCUUGGCCUCCAAAGCAGAUUCGAAAAAAUAAACUUUUGACAUACUUAUGUGGGGAAACAGCUGUAAAUAAAUGACAAAAAAGAAGGAAAAAAGCGUUUCUGUAGAAGCGUCAAAAGCUUGUUAAUUGAUUAUCGUGGCAUAAGGAUUUUAAUGGAAACAUCAAACAGUAAGGACAUGCAUGCAGAAACACAUAACAAGGAGUUAACAAUGCAAUGUAAAAAUGUUAAUGACUCCUAGAGAUCACCCAAAUGAUCAAGUCGUAGUAUUGAAAUUUUCUAAAGUGCUUUUGCAUUCUUGUUAUGGUCAGUGCUUGCCAGCUCCACUGAGGUUUCCGGCCUAUUAUUUAGCCCUUUAUUGCUAUUAUUUUAUUUUUGAGAGAUCCUUUGUUGCUAUUUUUUAAUAAAAACUAGUUUCUGUUAAGAUUAUAUAAUCUGAGAUAAACCUGUUUUAACUGGUUAAUAAAACGGCAAGGUUUUCAAGUGGGUUAAGUUAGCUUUUGUAGCACUAAAUUGAGAUACGAUUUUAAUAUAUAGGGGACCCUUUCUUCCUUGUUUGGUUAAUUAUUUAAGAAGUAUUUAAUAUUCCAAACCGUAAAUUUUGCACAUUACAAGAAUUGUCAAAAAUGGGUAAACAAAUCCAUCGGGUAAUUGCUCAUCAAUUAUACUGCUAAUGACUUUCAUAAGCUGUCACCAUUUCUCCGUUGUCCUUAUCUUAAAAAUGAAAUGUGAUCCUCUUUUAACCAAACAUGGCGUUACAUUUUGUGAGAGGUUUAAUCAAGUGUAUUAUCACAUCACUCUAACCUAUCACAGCAAGCACAGUGUCCUCUUUACAGUGGCAGCUGCAGUCAAUCCACUGCGCCAUCCCUUCUCCAAUGACAUAAGUGAACAACAUGUCAUGUGGGUCCACGAGCCGUUACCAAAGCACUAACCUACACGCUACUACCUCCUCCUAACAUAUUAAAUAAAUUGUCGCUGUUAGAUCAAUAUUAUUGACCACGCAAAAGUGUAUCAAACGGCCAGGAAACACGCUUACAAUAGUCACGGAUCACCGUGAAACUGGACUUUUUAAAUUUGUUAAAAUGCAGUUAAAUUCAGGUAUGGGCUCCAUUAUCAUUAUUAACGUAAGAAAAAUAGCCACUUCACUAGCCAUAAUAAGUCCAAAUCCUUAGUUCACACCGGCCUGCACAUACUGUCUGUAGUGAAGUACGAUGUCAAUUAAUUGUCCACAUUCAUGCUACCUAGUCCAAGUAGUGGUCUUUUGACAUUACAUAGAUGUAUGCAUGCAUGUAUGUUGAUGAACAGAAGAGGCAUAGAUAGCUAGACUCGCAUCUGGGUUGUGUGAGAAUGGAAGAGCUGAAGAGUUUGGCUUCUGUAUUGCUCUGUGUGCUGUGUUUGUGCUCGGCAGUUGUUAAUGGUAGUGAUUAUGUGAAGUACAAUACUGGAGCCGGAGUUGUGGCGGGCAAAUUGAAUGUUCAUUUGGUUGCACAUUCACAUGAUGACGUUGGAUGGCUGAAGACAGUUGAUCAAUACUAUGUUGGAUCAAAUAAUAGCAUUCAGGUAUUAACUGUAUAUGUUGUUGUUGAUCAGUUUGAUUUUUGUUAUCUCGUGAAUUUCCUUUGUUUUAUCUCUGCUGUUAUCGUUUUUGGUGUAGAGUGCUUGUGUGGAGAAUGUGUUGGACUCAGUUGUGGAAGCUCUGCGUCGGGAUCCAAAUAGAAAAUUUGUGUUUGCUGAAAUGGUAAUUAAUUAAAUUCCCUUGAUUCCUUGUUCUGCGGCGGUGAACGUGGGAUUAUUGGUAUACAAACGAUUGUUGUAUUGCAUAUAUUCUUUUUUCUUAAUUGCCACGUGUGGAUGGGUUAAUUGUCUGCAACUUUAUUGAAAAGUUGAACCUAAAGUAGGUUUCAAAUGUUUACAAGUGAAUCUUCUUUGAACCAUGAUGAGUUUUUACAUAUAUCAGUUAAUUAACACUUUGCCGGUAAUCUUUACCUUUCAUAAUUUAUACGUUUUGUUUCAUUAAAAGGGAUGGAUAAAUGGUAAGACUAGUUGGUUGUUACAUUUCCAAAUAGAUUAGCCAAUUGCAAUGCAAUUUUCAAUGUGUGAGUGUGCAUGUAUUUUGCCUCCAUUUCCUAUUCCUUACUGCUCUUCAAUAAUUGUAUCUUUCUUUUUCUCAUAUGAUAAAGUUUGAUACAAACGACAGGCAUUUUUCCAUCGAUGGUGGGUUGGGCAAAGUCCAGAAAUACAAGAACAAGUGAGAAAACUUGUUGACGCCAGCCAAUUGGAAUUCGUGUAUGCAGUUAUCAACAGCCACAAUUUUUUAAUUUCUUUUUGGAAUGUAUGACAAAUCCCUUUGUGUCUAUCUGCAGAAAUGGAGGUUGGUGUAUGCAUGAUGAAGCCACAACCCAUUACGUAGACAUGAUAGACCAAACAACUCUUGGUCAUCGUUAUAUUAAGCAGCACUUUAACAAAACUCCUAAAGCUGGAUGGCAAAUUGAUCCAUUUGGACACUCAGCUGUGCAAGCUUAUCUACUUGGUGUUGAGGUAAAUAAUUUUAUUUGUAAGAUUUGCACACCCUGUUGGUCAGUACCUUUUUUUUUAAAAAAAAAAAUGAUAUAAUCAUAAGCAUGCUUCAGUAAGGCAAUAAAGUGAACUGAUUUUGGUACCCUUUUGCAACCAAAUAUUUUCCACUCUUUGUAACAAGUGACGUGUUCUGUUUAACCAAAUGUCAUGACAUAAUUGUAUGCAUAAGGUUUUCAUUUGAGAGUCUCAGUUUCCAUUUAUCAUUUAUGAAUUAUGCCGAAGGGGAUAUGUUUUAAUUGAUAAAAAGCUUUUACUGGCAGCUUGGUUUCGAUUCUGUACAUUUUGCCAGAAUUGAUUAUCAGGACAGAGCAAAGCGCAAGGAAGACAAAUCACUUGAAGUUAUAUGGCGUGGGUCCAAGACUUUUGGUUCUUCAUCUCAGGUUGGAAACUGUGACCUCCAUUACCAGUUUCCAUCUUGUUUUCUUUUUGAGUUUUCUCAUGAUCACUUUAAGCUGUCUGUGUUCUUUUGCAGAUUUUUACCAAUGCCUUUCCCGUGCAUUAUAGUCCUCCAAGUGGUUUCCAUUUUGAAUUAACUGAUGAUUUUGACCCCGUUCAGGUUCUUAUUUUCUGCUAGGUUUACUCUUCUAAAAGGUUGGUUGAGUUUAUUUAUAUUUUUUCUUUUCAUCGUAGCUCUUCUGUUUCAUUAUGACUGCAGGACAAUCCACUUCUAGAUGGCUACAAUGUUGAACAGUGGGUUAAUGACUUUAUUGACGCUGCUUUAACCCAAGUAAAAUUUCUUCAUCUGUUGCUCUUAUUGUUUGAACACAGAUAUUUAAGCAUGCUAUGACAGGAAGUAGUCAUGUCAUAAUCUGUAGGCAAAUGUCACCAGGGAUAACCAUAUUAUGUGGACAAUGGGCGAUGAUUUCCAGUACCAAUAUGCAGAGUCUUGGUUCAAGCAGAUGGACAAACUGAUUCACUAUGUUAACAAGGUAGAGUUCAUGAGAAGUGUGAUUUUAUCAAUUUUCUGUUAUACGUGAGAUUAUGCAUAUUUUCAUAGAUUAUCCUUGACAAUGUUGUCGUCAAACACCAGCCCUGAUGAUAACUCCCCUGAGACUCUUCUCUAUCAAUCUGUCUGUAGUUUGAGUUUUAAUUUCCACCAUCCAUUUUCAGUCGAACUAUAUAUAUUGCUUAGUAUAGAUUAUGUAAUUCUCAGGGUGGUCGAGUGAAUGCAUUAUAUUCUACACCAUCUCUCUACACUGAAGCAAAAAAUGCAGCAAAUGGACCAUGGCCUCUGAAAACUGAUGACUACUUCCCGUGAGCAUAACUAGUGCCAUCAUUUAUUCCCUUUCCUUUUGUUGAUAAAAGCAUUUUUAUCCCUCAAAACAAUCUAUUUUAAGCAUAUGAUUCUACUAUGUAUAAUUGCUGGCAGCUAUGCAGAUCGACGAAAUGCUUAUUGGACAGGCUUCUUUACUAGUCGGCCCGCAUUGAAGGGAUAUGUUCGGGUGCUGAGUGGAUUUUACUUGGUACGUUUUUUGGCACGAGAUUGGGGGAACUCUUCUCCUCCU